rnacentral:rRNA from 1 species
UGGGGAAUUUUGGACAAUGGGGGAAACCCUGAUCCAGCCAUCCCGCGUGUGCGAUGAAGGCCUUCGGGUUGUAAAGCACUUUUGGCAGGAAAGAAACGUCGCGGGUUAAUACCCCGCGAAACUGACGGUACCUGCAGAAUAAGCACCGGCUAACUACGUGCCAGCAGCCGCGGUAAUACGUAGGGUGCAAGCGUUAAUCGGAAUUACUGGGCGUAAAGCGUGCGCAGGCGGUUCGGAAAGAAAGAUGUGAAAUCCCGGAGCUUAACUUUGGAACUGCAUUUUUAACUACCGGGCUAGAGUGUGUCAGAGGGAGGUGGAAUUCCGCGUGUAGCAGUGAAAUGCGUAGAUAUGCGGAGGAACACCGAUGGCGAAGGCAGCCUCCUGGGAUAACACUGACGCUCAUGCACGAAAGCGUGGGGAGCAAACAGGAUUAGAUACCCUGGUAGUCCACGCCCUAAACGAUGUCAACUAGCUGUUGGGGCCUUCGGGCCUUGGUAGCGCAGCUAACGCGUGAAGUUGACCGCCUGGGGAGUACGGUCGCAAGAUUAAAACUCAAAGGAA